rnacentral:rRNA from 1 species
GACGUAGGGCGCGAGCGUUGUCCGGAUUUAUUGGGCGUAAAGAGCUCGUAGGCGGCUUGUUGCGUCGACCGUGAAAACCCGCGGCUUAACUGUGGGCUUGCGGUCGAUACGGGCGGGCUGGAGUUCGGUAGGGGAGACUGGAAUUCCUGGUGUAGCGGUGAAAUGCGCAGAUAUCAGGAGGAACACCGGUGGCGAAGGCGGUUCUCUGGGCAUGUCCUGACGCUGAGGAGCGAAAGUGUGGGGAGCGAACAGG